UACGUAGGCAGCGAGCGUUGUUCGGAGUUACUGGGCGUAAAGGGUGUGUAGGCGGUUUCUAAGUCUGGUGUGAAAUCUCCCGGCUCAACUGGGAGGUGCGCCGAAACUGGAAGGCUAGAGUGCGGAUGGUAAGUGGAAUUCCCAGUGUAGAGGUGAAAUUCGUAGAUAUUGGAAGAACACCGUGGCGAGGCGGCGACCUGUCCGAUACUGACGCUGAGGCGCGAAAGCGUGGGAGCGAACAG
rnacentral:rRNA from 1 species